rnacentral:rRNA from 1 species
GAUAAACGCUGGCGGCGUGCCUAACACAUGCAAGUCGAACGAAGGGGCGAACGGGUGAGUAACACGCGAGUAACCUGCCUUACAACAGGGGAUAGCCUUUGAAAACGAAGAAUAAUACUCUAUAGUGUAAGAUGGACUUGCGUCUGAUUAGCUAGUUGGGGAGAUAAAAGCCCACCAAGGCGACGAUCAGUAGCCGGGUUGAGAGAGUGUACCACCACACUGGGACUGAGACACGGGCCAAAUUCUACGUGAGGCAGCAGUGGGGAAUUUUGCACAAUGGGGGAAACACUGAUGCAGCGACGCCGCGUGAUUUAGAAGGCCUUCGGGUUGUAAAAAUCUUUUUUAUGGGAUGCAGUACCAUAAGAAUAAGGUCCGGCUAAAUACGUGCCAGCAGCCGCGGUAAUAC